GACGAACGCUGGCGGCGUGCUUAACACAUGCAAGUCGAACGGUAAGGCCCUUGGGGGUACACGAGUGGCGAACGGGUGAGUAACACGUGGGUGAUCUGCCCUGCACUUCGGGAUAAGCCUGGGAAACUGGGUCUAAUACCGGAUAGGACCCUGGGAUGCAUGUCCUGGGGUGGAAAGCUUUUGCGGUGUGGGAUGGGCCCGCGGCCUAUCAGCUUGUUGGUGGGGUGAUGGCCUACCAAGGCGACGACGGGUAGCCGGCCUGAGAGGGUGACCGGCCACACUGGGACUGAGAUACGGCCCAGACUCCGACGGGAGGCAGCAGUGGGGAAUAUUGCACAAUGGGCGCAAGCCUGAUGCAGCGACGCCGCGUGAGGGAUGACGGCCUUCGGGUUGUAAACCUCUUUCAGCACCGACGGAGCGCAAGUGACGGUAGGUGCAGAAGAAGGACCGGCCAACUACGUGCCAGCCGCCGCCGUA
rnacentral:rRNA from 1 species